UGCGACAGCCUUAAAUGCUUUACUUGUACACUAUUAAGUGUUCAUUACAUGUUUAUAAGAUGCAUGCAAACAACUGCACGGUGUAUAAAUGGUUAAAUCAGUAAUGAAAACGAACACAAGUCAUGUUCUGUUCUUUCUUUUUAGUGCUGAACUAUUAUUCUUCAUAAGUGGAUAUCCUAAAAAGACUAAAAACAAUAAAUCUGAAAAUCUUCAGACAAUAGGUGAUUUGGAACAAUCCGGACAGAGCUCAUUUCUGAGCCUCUUUUUCGACAAAACAUUUUCCUCCGCAGAAGUUAAAAAGUCGUCUGCUAAUGAUGAACUUUUAGCAAAAUGUAAACGCACAAAAGGUUCUCAGAGAACAAGAUGCGUGGCAGCUUAUAUCAGGGACUUGUACCCAGAUAGUUUUAGAUGGGAAAAAGAUGUCGAAAACUCAGCGGACAAUAAACAAAAAACUACAGUUACAUUGAUGCCACCUGAGACAAGCAAAGAGUCGUCUGCAACUAAUACUUCACCAUCAGCUCACUCUUCUAAAGCAACUUCUUCGCCAAUAUCUACUGUACCGUCAACAGGAACAUCAAACACCAACUGUGACACAAGGCAUGCUCAAAAAAGAAAACAGACAACACGGAAACUUGAAAAGACGGGGGAGAUUUUAAUAUCUUCUGCAUUUCUGAUUGUACCCGGUGACCCGAAAAUAAUCAUGUCCGUUAUUCAAGAUGCAGACACAACAAGCUUCGUUAAUGAUGAGAGAAUACAACCAGUAACUUGUCGAAGAGAUGAGCUUGGUUUCAGUGAAGAUACCGACCCAAAAAUUGUAGACAUUGCAAGUGAUAUGCUGUGCUCAUUGUGUCAGCACCAACAUGACAGUAUGUGUAUAAUGAGGUGGUGUUUUAAUAAAUAAAGUCAUUAUUUAAACACCAACGUGACAGUAUGUGUAUAGUGAGAUGGUGUUUGAAUAUAUAAAGUAAUUAUUCAAAAAACAACGAGACAGUGUGUGUAUAAUGAGGUGGUGUUUAUAUGUAUAAAGUCAUUAUUCAAACACCAACGUGACAGUAUGAGUAUUUCAAUAUAUAAAGUGUGGUGGCUUAUUUGGUACGCUUUUGUGUGUUGCGUUGGCGCUAGCGACAACACGACAAAGCGCCAAACGGCGCGUUGUCGCGCUGUCGUCUUGUCGUCCCGUCUCUAGCGCGGCACGCCAAACGGUGCGUUGUCGUGCUGCGUGUUGUCACGAUGUCACAUUGGCGCUUGAUUCAAAUUGAGGAAUUGGCCUAUAAGCCAAGCGACAGUUCGACAUCGCGCCUCACGACAUCGCGACGUUUGGCGUGUCGCGCUAGAGACAGGACGACAAGACGACAGCGCGACAACGCGCUGUUUGGUGCUUAGUCGUGUUGUCGCUAGUGACAGGACGACAAGACGAAAAUCCGACAACGCGCCCUUUGGCGCUUUGUUGUGUUGUCCUUAGCGCCAAGUAGACGCACAAAAGCGUACCAAAUUAGCCACCAUAUUAAAGUCAUUAUUCAAACACCAACGAGACAGUAUGUGUAUAAUGAGGUGGUGCUUAAUACAUAAAGUCAUUAUUCAAACACCAACGAGACAGUAUGUGUAUAAUGAGGUGGUGCUUAAUAUAUAAAGUCAUUAUUCAAACACCAACGAGACAGUAUGUGUAUAAUGAGAUGGUGUUUUAAUACAUAAAGUCAUUAUUCAAACACCAACGAGACAGUAUGUGUAUAAUGAGGUGGUGCUUAAUAUAUAAAGUCAUUAUUCAAACACCAACGUGACAGUAUGUGUAUAAUGAGGUGGUGCUUAAUAUAUAAAGUCAUUAUUCAAACACCAACGAGACAGUAUGUGUAUAAUGAGGUGGUGCUUAAUAUAUAAAGUCAUUAUUCAAACACCAACGUGACAGUAUGUGUAUAAUGAGGUGGUGCUUAAUAUAUAAAGUCAUUAUUCAAACACCAAUGUCUCAAACUCUUAAUGAUCAAAUUAAAUGGGCGUUUAUUUUAAAUGAUUUUUCUUCUGAUUGAAAAUGUCUGUUUGAAAGGAAAAUGGUAUUUGUAAAUAUUUGUCCAUGCCAAAUUGGCUGCUCAAAGUUCUUUAUUUAUUUUUUACUUUCGAUCAAUCGCUAAAUGCGUACGCACUUAAUUCCAUUUCUUAAAAAGGUAGGGUGUCUUCUUUAAGUUUGAAGUUUAACUCAUAUCUACCUUGGCGCAAAAAAGUAAGUACUUAAGUGGCUCUUGAAACAAAGUUUAACUAUGGUGGCUGAUUUGGUACACUUCUGCUAGCGACAGCACGACAAAGCGCCAACUGGCGCAUUGUCGAACUUUCGUCAUGUCGUCCUGUCGCUAACGAAACAUGCCAAAAGGCCCGUUGUCUUGUGACAUGUUGUCGCGAUGUCUCCUUGUCGCUUGGCUCAAAUCGAAGGAUUUGCGACUUGUAUAAAUAUAAACCAAUAAACCAAGCGACAGGGCGACAUCGCGCCACACGACAACGCGCCGUUUGGCGUGCUUCACUAGCAACAGGACGACAAGACGAAAGGCGAUAACGAUAUAGGUUGUGUUGUCGCUUUCGAUAACGCAACGUGCAAAGUGUACCAAAUCAGCCACCAUAUGUAACAGUUCAACUUCAUUGAUGCUAUUUACUCUGUUUCUCGUGCGUACCUAGAAAAUUCUCAUUCGUGGAUUAAAGAGAAAGAGGAAGCCAAUUAAAACCCUAUAAAAUCGCGUAGGAUGGCUCCACAUGUAAUUAGACGUAAAGAUGACCGUAUUGACUAAUGACGUUAACGGCAUUGACGUUAUUGUUUGACACAUAACUGAAAGAGGAGCGUUUAAUUAAUUAAACUAUAUAGUUACAUUUUUGCGCCCAAGAUACAGAGCGUUUUUUUACGUAAGAUGUAAACAUUAUCUAUUCAUUUGUCAAAACGGAAAAUAUACAAUCUAUGUUGUUGCGUGUCCAACGUUGACGUAAUAUGACACGAACUAAUGUACGUUAACGUGACAACAAGCUAAGUUAUAAAUAUACAAUACUGUACAAAGUAAAUAUUAUUUUUUGUGAGUUUUUGCUGAGGAGUCAGAAUGUACACUGUUAAAGCAAUGUGUUUAUCAUAUAUUCUAUUCACUAUUUUUAUGUUAUGGGGAUGGACGGGAAACUAUUCGUCGGCAAAGGCUGUAAAGAAAAAUUUAGAACAGGUGUCUGCAGUUGAAUCAUCAGCAGUCACGCGCAAUGAUUAUAAAACAUUUAAAGAGCACGUGCGUAAAUCAAAACAAAUAAGCGAAACCUUGUUGGCCAGGAAAGAAGUCCAAGAUAUGUUUAACAAGGAAAUCGUUGCCAAGGGUAUAAAGAUAGAUUACACCGACCCAGCUCAAACUGGCUCUAUUGUAGGAUUUAUAUUAUCUGGCCUGUGUUCCGCGUGCGCCGAACAACUGGAUGAAUGCGCAUGUCUCCAGCUUUAUGAAUGCAACAGACAGUGUCCCUUGUAAACGACGUACGUUAAGAAGACGCAUUAUUCGUGUAAUGCAAUAGCUCUUGUUUGUAAAUAUAUUUAUCAAAAAUAAAGUUUAUAGGACAAGAA